GGUUCGAUUAUGGCUCAGAUUGAACGCUGGCGGGAUGCUUUACACAUGCAAGUCGAACGGCAGCACGGACUUCGGUCUGGUGGCGAGUGGCGAACGGGUGAGUAAUGUAUCGGAACGUGCCUAGUAGCGGGGAUAACUACGCAGCGUAGCUAAUACCGCAUAUUGCCCUUCGGGGGAAAGUGGGACCUUUCGGGCCUCGCACUAUUAGAGCGGCCGAUAUCGGAUUAGUUAGUUGGUGGGGUAACGGUCACCUCAAGGCGACGAUCCGUAGCUGGUUUGAGAGGACGACCAGCCACACUGGGACUGAGACACGGCCCAGACUCCUACGGGAGGCAGCAGUGGGGAAUUUUGGACAAUGGGGGAAACCCUGAUCCAGCCAUCCCGCGUGUGCGAUGAAGGCCUUCGGGUUGUAAAGCACUUUUUGGCAGGGAAAGAAACGGCACGGGAUAAUACCCCGUGCAACUGACGGUACUCUGCAGAAUAAGCACCGGCUAACCACGUGCCAGCAGCCGCGGUAAUGCUUAGGUGCAAGCGUUAAUCGGAAUUACUGGGCGGUAAGCGUGCGCAGGCGGUUCGGAAAGAAAGAUGUGAAAUCCCAGAGCUUAACUUUGGAACUGCAUUUUUAACUACCGGGCUAGAGUGUGUCAGAGGGAGGUGAAUUCGUUAUGCGUAGCAGUGAAAUGCGUAGAUAUGCGGAGGAACACCGAUGGCGAAGGCAAGUGGGCCUCCCCGGGAUAACACUGACGCUCAUGCACGAAAGCGUGGGGAGCAAACAGGAUUAGAUACCCCUGGUAGUCCACGCCCUAAACGAUGUCAACUAGCUGCUAGCCUUCGGGCCUUGGUAGCGCAGCUAACGCGUGAAGUUGACCGCCUGGGGAGUACGGUCGCAAGAUUAAAAACUCAAAGGAAUUGACGGGGACCCGCACAAGCGGUGGAUGAUGUGGAUUAAUUCGACAACGCGAAAAACCUUACCUACCCUGACAUGUCUUGAAUGCUGAAGAGAUUUGCAGUGCUCGCAAGAGAACCGGAACACAGGUGCUGCAUGGCUGUCGUCAGCUCGUGUCGAGAUGUUGGGUUAAGUCCUGCAACGAGCGCAACCCUUGUCAUUAGUUGCUACGAAAGGGCACUCUAAUGAGACUGCCGGUGACAAACCGGAGGAAGGUGGGAUGAUUGUCAAGUCCUCAUGGCCCUUAUGGGUAGGGCUUGACGUCAUACAAUGGUCGGGACAGAGGGUCGCCAACCCGCGAGGGGGAGCCAAUCCCAGAAACCCGAUCGUAGUCCGGAUCGCAGUCUGCAACUCGACUGCGUGAAGUCGGAAUCGCUAGUAAUCGCGGAUCAGCAUGUCGCGGUGAAUACGUUCCCGGGUCUUGUACACACCGCCUGUCACACCAUGGGAGUGGGUUUUACCAGAAGUAGUUAGCCUAACCGCAAGGGGGGGGCGAUUACCACGUAGGAUUCAUGACUGGGGUGAAGUCGUAACAAGGUAAC
rnacentral:rRNA from 1 species